CAGGAUCGGACAAUAUGGACAAGGAAAGACGAUCAGAGCCAAGAUCCAGAAGACCUGUGACAGGAAGUGAAGACACACAGAAAGUUUAUUCAUCACGGGGCGAGUUUGAGACGUGAAGAGGAGCGUGGAGGCAUUUUGGAAAAUAAAGAAGAAGGCUGCAGCUGAUGAGAGACUUCCUGUUAGCUCUCCUCAAUAUUAAAUGAACAAAAACAAUCAAUUGUACUUAAAGCUUUUCUUAAGAAGAAAGAUGUGUACACCUGCUGCUACCUACCACCACCUCCCACCCAUCCCGGCACCAAAGAGGAGACUCCAUCGACCCCAGAUACCCCAACUCACUCUUCUUCAGGUUAGCUUGGAGCCCCGCCUUUACCUGCCCCAACAUCUCACUUUGAACGAUGUAGUCAUCCGGAUAUCUGCAUACUGAGAGUGGGACGCAGGACCCGGUCAAUGAGCUGCUGGAAGGGGGUCCACUGGACUGGAGGGGCUCUUGGAUCUGGUGAUGCCUUGCUCUUCCUGAAAGGGGAGGACACCUAUCUGCCAUAGUUUCUCCACCUGACGACUGAGUUCAGCAUCGGGGGUUCCAGUUGGGGUGAAGAGACUCUGGGGGGCAUCCGAUGGCUCCUGAAUAGGGGGGGCCCUUGGAGUGUCCAACCUAAUGAUAAGAAUAAGAAUAAUAAGAAUGCAUUUUAUUUGUAAAGCACCUUUCAUUGCUAAAAGUAAUCUCAAAGUGCUACAAGGGGCAUAAUAUACUUUUUAAAGAAACACAAGUUUAAUAAUAGUAUUUAAAAGCACCCCAUGGUGCGGAGUUUGGUCCUGGGGGGGAAAGCAGAUGGUUGGUUGUAGAAUGGAGGUUGCGUGUGGAGGUUUGUGAGGAGAGUAGUUCCUUGAGGUAUGAAGGAGCGUUCCCGUGGAUGCUCUGAUGGGUGAGGAGUGAGAUCUUGUAAUUGAACCUAGCUGGAGGGCUAUUGGUGCCCCCUGUGGACCCAAAGAGACUCUUUUGGUUGGGGUAAUGAGGUGAGCGUUAUCUGCACCUAUUAGUAGGAGAGGCUGCACUUUGGAAAAGAGGGAAGGGGAAGGCCUUGUAGGCGGAGAUAGUGUUUCUUGAGAUCAUCCACAGGAUAACUCUAGUCCACAAGUGAAAGUCUGUCAGAGGUGAAUGUGUCUUUGAGGAGGAAUGUUUUCUUGGGAUUGAAAGAGGGUGAUAUCUCAAAGGUCACUGAGGCUCCAUUUCAGAAUAAUAUAUAUGAUAUGUUUUAUAAUGAUUGAUCAUUAAAGUGUUCUCAAAGCUGGUAAAGGU